rnacentral:rRNA from 1 species
GAUCCUGGCUCAGGACGAACGCUGGCGGCGUGCUUAACACAUGCAAGUCGAACGGAGCACCCUUGACUGAGGUUUCGGCCAAAUGAUAGGAAUGCUUAGUGGCGGACUGGUGAGUAACGCGUGAGGAACCUGCCUUCCAGAGGGGGACAACAGUUGGAAACGACUGCUAAUACCGCAUGACGCAUGACCGGGGCAUCCCGGGCAUGUCAAAGAUUUUAUCGCUGGAAGAUGGCCUCGCG